rnacentral:lncRNA from 1 species
AUUAUACUGGGUUGUUGUUGUUGUUGUUGUUGUACUGUCAAAAUAUUACUACAUAUUUUAGUACAACUAAAGAAAGAAAACUGAAACAUGAUUUUCCUAAGCAGGGGUGUUACUUAAAGGAAACAGAAAUCAGAAAAGGGGCAAAUUUUAUCUUUUCUGUGAGCAGUGAACGGGGUCGUCGAUCUCGAAUCUACUCUCUCGUCAUGAAUAGAUCCGAACCUCAAGCCGAAAGGUUCGAAAACUUCUAUCGCGGCUAAAGUACACCGGGACAGAAAGAAAAAGUUCUAAAACAAAUUUUUAAAAAUUUUGAGAGAUGGUAUAUCAGUGGGAGUAAAAAAAUGAUAGUAUUUAAGCAGGCAUAGUUUGUGUGUUUGAUUCUAGGUUGUGUCUGAGAUUGUUCCUCUCUCCUAUUGGCCAGGGAGCCAGAGAUGUAUUUGUAGGUGGAAUUGAAACCCUAAAGUUUCAAAAUUGUUCAAGAGUCAUGUGUAGGGGCUUGAUUUCAAAAUACAGUCGUAGAAUCAGAGAAGAAAACAGACAUGUGAUUGAAAAGAGCCGUAGCUCAAAAGGUGGAUUCCUCUGACAUGUGUCUCUGUACUCACUGGAAUGAUGAAAGAAAAAGAAGAGACAGGGGAGCAUCUGAUAAUUUAGAAGAGAGAUAAGUCUUGCGUGAAAAUGGAAGCAGCAACGUCUGGCAUGGAGAUUAGAGGAGCUUGAAAGUUUUUCUAGAAAUGGAUAAGAUAACAAAGGAAGGGCUAAAGGUACUGCUAUAUUUUUACUACGG